AAUGUAAGGAUGCAUUGGUGCAUCACAACAAGUAAACACCAUGGUUCAAAUCCCACCGAGUACAUGUAGUGGUUACAAUUGAUAUUGUAUUCACUAACAUAAAUUCAUUUCUGAUUUGAUCCAGCCAUCUGGUACAUAUCAGUCCACUAUAAGACUUGACAGGUUGGAACUAUCGGCCCUGGUCGAGCAGAUUCAUUGCGAAUCGAUAUGUCGGUUUUUUAUAUCUACUAUUAUAACUUUGAAUCAGGAAAAGUUGCCAUUAAUAAAAAAUAAAUAAAUAGAAAAACAGUUCCUUGUAAUUAUUAUCGUGGAUCAUAAUUUUCCAUUAAUAAAACGAAUAUUAUUGUGUAAAACAAAGAAAAACAUGAUACUUUUGUCUAGCGAAUUCCUAAUACAGACGGAUAACGCUUUUUACGUAAUUUGCUUUUUAAUUAGAUACUGUAAAUAAACGGGCACAAAUUUGCAGUGAUAAACUGUUCUAAUUUCUGUAUAGAUAGCUCGAUGACCCAUGUUGAUACAUUCCUGGAUCCACACCAAAUCCCAGUUACAUGAUAAGAAAUGUGCUUGUUCGGGGAAUUGGCGGGGAAAUUAUUAUUUUUUGGUUGUCUCAGAAUUUAUUUAUUUAUUUUAUUUUAUUUUAUUUUUAGUAUUAGUAUUAGUAUUAGUAUUAGUAGUAGUUCCUUAUCGGUCCAACCGAAGGGUACUAUAGAUUUUGUCACUCGAUCUGUCUGCCCGUCUGUCCCCCAUAUAGUUUCCCGAACCUUUUUUGUUUGGAAUGCCUGUGUAUUGUGUUGAUUUUUGUGUAUAGCUUUAUCAUGUACUAUUAUUGAUCAAGUUUGACUUUCAUGGCGAUUUAACCAUUUUUAACUAGAGUUAUGGCCCUUGAACUUAGGAUAUACAAAUAUAUAAAAUUAUAUAGAGGUAUAUUUCUAACAUGCAGAAUUGUUUUGUAAAAAUAAGAAUUAAUAUUUUAUUUUAAAUGUACAUGUUUGACGUGUAUGUAUUACAGUCGUUUUUUUAGCGGUAGAUCGGUGUAUGUUGGUAGCUACACGUGGCGGCCUUGUGUUCCUUCCUCCAUCCCACGGAGUUCCCGAUAAAAGUCGACAGUACAAAGUGCCCCGUUGAGAGCCGCGACCAUUAUGGCGGGAAGAAUUAUGUUCCGUCGUGUAGUUCACACUCACAUACACGGUGUAUAAGCCAAGGGUCCCGUCCACCGAUAAAGACGUCACUGAGAAGGGAAGUACUUGUAGAACUGUUUAUCCCAUUAGUGGGCAGUAAAGCGACAAGAACUGUCUUCUAAAACCAAACAGAUCAUAAAACGAGAAUUAAGCGCCUAGCGGGAAGGAGGAAAAAACAACUUGAAAACAAAUCUUCAUCAUCGUCUCGCCGUAAGCAGGACCACGUGAUGUCGGAGGCGUUAGUGCGGGAAACGAGCGUGUGUCCGCUACUAAUUACUUAUUUACUGACUCUCCACACAUUAACAAUAGCAUAGACAUAUCUAACAAAGUCCGUAAGACCAGGGUCCAGUUGUUCAAAGCAUAGUUAAAUUAACCCUGGCUUAGUACAAUAUUUUAAAAUUAUUUUUUCACAAAUGCAAAAUUAAUUUCAGCUUUGAUUAAGAAUGGACACUUUUGGUUGUUGUAAAUCAAGUCUCAGCAUUAUGUUUUUAAUUACUAUUUGUAUUGAUUCAGUCCUUGGUUUUGGAAACUUCUGUUAACCACUGGUUAAGCUAACCAACGUUUGAACAACCCGCUGCUGAUUUUCAACAAAGAAUGGCUUUAAAUAAAGACCGUGGUUUUGAAUAAAGGCUUGUUUAGAAUGAAGAUAAAGUUUUGCAUAAAGACAUGUUCUGUUUAAAGGCUUGUUUCGAAUGUAAAUGAAGUUUCGAAUAAAGAUCUCUUCUGAAUACAA